rnacentral:tRNA from 1 species
GCAUUAGUAGCUCAGCACAGAGCAUUGGUCUUGUAAGCCAAAGGCCGGAGACUUAAACCCUCCCUACUGCU